UGUUAGGCUGUUAGGACUUAGGGUGUCAUCAGCAGAGUGCCAGUGUACCGUGCCACGCCACAAUAACAAACACGAAGACGUUAACGUUGAGUAUGAUAGAUUGCUGACAAACUCAGCAUGGUGAUGUAUAGAAAUUGAAGACUUUGAUAUACAGUGAGAAUUUGGCAAUACCAAAUAAGCCCGUUCACGUAAACCUUUCUUUUGUUUCUGGAUUGCCUAAUCAUAGUACAAUUAUCACCCACGGGUCCCGUCUCUCUUUUGGUUGAAACAAGGCAUUCAAGUAGCCUGAAUGGUUUGAAACAGCUCAGCCCAGGAUUCACACAUCACAUUGGUGCAAGAAGAUGUACUGUGUGUGUAUUUAUCGGACAACAAUUACACCACCUACAUGGACUCCUAACACAAUGUUUUGCCCAAGAAUCCACCCGGUCUACAUGGAUCGUCAACCUACAUGGCAGUUCCUCACUGAACAGUAAAAUACCACUGUCAUCAAAGCUUUACUUCAGCUAUAGGCCUACCCCUUUCGGUUGUUACUACGAGAAAAUGAGAUCGCAUGUCAGUCUCGCCAAUCUUUAAUUCAUCAUCGUGGAGUUGUACAAAUGUACAGCAAACAAGAUGUCUCUUUUUGUACAUCCAUUAAUACUGCAAAAGAAUUCUUUGUUGAUUAAAGAAGAAGUCCAAUAUCGGCAGCAAUCUGCAGAAUAAUCCAACUUGUCGCAGUAAGUGAUGAUUGGAUUUUCCUUAUGGCGACGUGAAGUAAUAGGACGAAGGUAGGAUUCGAAUUCGUCCACCAGGGGGUGCGCUAAAAUGGCAAAACCACGUCAUUCGUCUUCGGGGCGUCUAUGGUGUUGUUUGUAUGACUUUGUAUGACGCUGGCUGUAUCCAUUACGUCGGAUUUCCAACAUUUUCCAUCAUGGAGAUGGAAAGGUGAUUUGUCGGUGGAGUGGAGUUCUUCUGUCUUUGGAGUUUUACGGUCGCCAUACCGGUGGAUUGUCCCCCCAUCCGCCAGGUGACGCGGGAGUCUUCGUGAUCGUGAGGAAAAAAUAUUUGUCAUUUGUUUGUUGUUUGAUUGUUUCCGAGACGCUGAUGUAUGUUCCGUAUUCUAAAUUCAUUACGGAAUUGAGGUGUCGAUCUACAUUCUCAGCCAAAUGUAAUUGGCAAUCUGGCAUAUAAUUUCACUUGGCCAAAUGUGAUGACGUGGGUCGAAACUGCUGCGCAUUUUGUCGAAAUGUUGGCCAUUGUUAGACACGUCUCAUCUCUGCAGAAGCACUUCAGAGCUAGUAAAGUCAGAGAUGGAGAUCCCUUUGCUCAACUGUUUCAGAAAUUUAGAACACAACAAAGUCUGAGCUUCAUGGCUGUAGGCCUGUAGUAUCAUUAAUGUCAUUUUGUUGCAGCCAGCUGGUGAAAAGUGUAAUAGAGUCCUGUUGAGCUGCAGCUGCUGCAUGCAUUUUAUUGAGCUGGUGUUAUUCCAAGUGUCACUGCACAAAAACUUUUAAGUAUAUUAACUUAUAAGACUACCUCAAUUCUUUCCCCUCAUUGAGCGAUGCCCGAGCCAGAAUUGUAACACUCCAGGUGAAAUUGAGCUCUUUGAAAUUGGACAACCAUGCCAAGGAUAAAUUCCUCUGUUUUUUUCCUGUACCGGCUAGACGUUUUGUAAGAAACACUU